GUGCCCACUUUGGCAACACACAUACUAAAAUUGGAACAAUGCAGAGAUUAGCCUGGCCUCUGUGCAAGAAUGACACGUAAAUUCAUGAACCAUUCCAUAAUUUU